UACCUGCAGCCCAAGUGGUGAUCGCUAUUAUUGGGCCUAAAACGUCCGUAGCCGGUUCUAUAAAUGCCUGGGUAAAUCGUACGGCUUAACCGUACGAAAUCCGGGUAGACUGUUCAACUUGGGACCGGGAUAGGCUAGAGGUACUCCUGGGGUAGAGGUGAAAUUCUGUAAUCCUAGGGGGACCACCAGUGGCGAAGGCGUCUAGCUAGAACGGGUCUGACGGUGAGGGACGAAGCCUUGGGGAGCAAACGGGAUUAGAUACCCCGGUAGUCCAGGGUGUAAACGCUGCUCGCUUGAUGUUAGUCGGGCUCCGAGCCCAACUAGUGUCGGAGAGAAGUUGUUAAGCGAGCUGCCUGGGAGUACGGUCGCAAGACUGAAACUUAAAGGAAUUGGCGGGGAGCACCGCAACGGGUGGAGCGUGCGGUUU
rnacentral:rRNA from 1 species